CCCAAGCAGCUGAAUCUGAGGAAGAAGAAGAAAAGGAACAUAUAAGAAGCAGGCAGAAAAUAUGUACAUUUUUGUACACUUUUCUUGUCACAAUUCUAAGUAAGAAGGUAAACAAUUCAAGUGUUGAUGCACAGCUUCGCUGUUUUUCGCGCGAUUCGACUAGCUAUUAUUGUGCGCGUCGCUGUUCUUCUUUGUGAGGACUUUUAAACCUCCAUGCUUUCUCUCUCUUUUUUGCGACUUGCACUCUGAUUCCUGUGGAAGCAUGAAUGAUGAAACCAUGUGUAAUUUUGUAGAACGCGCUCAUCAUCUCUAAGCAGUGGGUGUGUGAGAAAUAAGAUAGUGCGGCCGAGCCAAACAGACCCUUAAUCUCAAUUUAUUCGAGAAAAUAUGGAUAAAUUAAUAAAGCAAUCUUACAGACUAAUAUAUAAAUAUUGCAGAGAAGAAGGCAAAAAAGACAAAAGAAUAUACAAAAGAAUGUGAAAAAUGUGAAAAGUGAACAUGAAUGUGAAGUUUCUUGACUCCAUAUCCUAUAGUCAGUAUGGAAAUCACAUGUUCUUUCUUGUCAAUAAAAAUAUGCUUUGAUCUUCAUCAAUUCAGAGUUCCAUGAGGCUUGUUUGGAAUCAGUUAAGAGGAAUUUAAUUGAUUUCUAAGGACUUUGUGUUAAUUUCUAUAAUAUGACCAAAUUUCAAUCAUAGGUUAGAUUGGCGAGAAUUCAUUUUGUCGUUAAUUAUAAUAUAUACACAAGCCCCAAAAUACAACUUCUUGAAAUAGUUAUAUUAGCUUUCCGCUAAUUAACAAUGAUAUAUUAGGAAAAGUAGAAUGAACUUGAAUUGAAUACAACUUCAAUUUCUUUCAAACAGAAACAUUCAUUUCUAAUUAGAUUGAAUUAAUCGAAUUCCGCUGAACUGAAGUCAAAUGAAUUAUAUCGAAAUCUGAUUCCAAACAUGUUCAGAAUUCAGAAGAGCUCACAUCACAGUCAUCAUGUAAACAUACAAAUUUCUAACAUAAAUGGAGCUUCAACAAUUGGAAAUCAAGUUUAAUACCUCAUCUGCUUCAAGGUUUUCGCACACUCCUCUUGUCGAUGAGAGUUAUCUUUUCCGUUCGCGCCGUC
rnacentral:lncRNA from 1 species